rnacentral:lncRNA from 7 species
AGGUGUGUAAUCCAGAUAUAUUUUAUAGGAUUAUUUUUCCGAGAUUAGCACAGGAUAUUAGAAAGGUUAUAAAGUAACACCGACGUUCGUUGUCUCCCUUUAUGUACAUACAAGAACACAGCACAACAACACAGCCCGUCCUCCGCCCCACGGCCGCCCCACGGCGCUCAGAGCUCCGCACUAAUAUGGCUUUCGUGGUCUAUUGAGAGUUCAGUGCCCCAUGUCCCCGUCCCGGUGCUCCGGUGGCACGCGGUGGCCAUGGGGCCAAUGCAGCCCUCGUGCUUUGGGAGGGGACGCCGGGGAUGCGGUGACACUGCACGGCUCCACUGGGUGCCAGCAGUGAGGGGCACAGUCCCAAUGUCACCUCCUGCAGGACGCGGUGUCCCCAACCCUCCCUCCAUCACCCGUGGCACUGUGUCCCCAUUCACACGAGUGACGCAGUGCACAUUGCCACCCCUCGCGUGGGGGCUGUCCAACCACGGCCCCACCACUCCAUGGCCGAGUCCUGACCCCAAAUCCCCACAGCCCUUUUUCCAGGGACCCAAAUCCCUCCCGGACCUUCGGGACAUCUCCUGCGCUCCGAUCUGCGCCGCGGAGACAUGCGGUGAGAUGGAACCGUGCUCGAAAACACGUCGUGUUUCAUGGGAAAGAAUUGCGCCUAUCGAGAGUGGAUGGUGAAGACCUUUGGAGAAGCCCACGUGCUGUGCAUGCUCUGUGUGUGCAGUGAAGUGAACGGCAUCGUGUCGGCAGUGUGACCUCUGGUGACAAUGCGUGUCCCAUGGCAGAAGCUCGGGGCUCCUGUUGGGAGCACGGUCAGCGUCGUCCUCCCACUGGGACCAUGACCAAUAUCCUCCCGUUGGGACCCACGGCCAACAUCCUUCUCCCAUUGCGACCAUGACCAACAUCCUCCUCCCAUUGGGACCCAUGGCCAGUGUCCACCUUCCACUGGGACCACGACCAGUGUCCUCUUGUUGGGACCAUGACCAACAUCCUCCUCCUGUUGGAACCCAUGACCAACGGCCUCCUCCCAUUGGGACCCACAGCCAACAUCCUUCUCCCAUUGGGACCAUGACCAAUAUCCUCCCACUGGGACCCACGGCCAAUGUCCUCCUGUUGGGACUCAUGGCCAACGUCCUCCUCCAAGGAGAUGGAAGGAGAGGAACGGCAGUGAGGAACCCACAAGUUUUCCCCACUGGGGGGUGGCGAAGGCUUCGUGCAUCCCUCUCAAGGCACCCAAUGCUCUGCUGAUGGAGUGACGGAGCCAUGUGCCACGGAUGCAUCCCUUGUUCCUGCCAAGCCAUGGUGGCCCCACUCCCCAUCCACCACUCCACUCCUUGUCCUCUGGGUGGGAGCAGCACUUCCAUCCCACACUCUGUGGUGGAGGACCCAAUUCUUCCUUUACCUCCAAGAUGGGGCUGCCCACCCCACCCCAUUCCUGCACCAAAGGCUCAGCUCCUCUGGGCACCCCAAAAUGUAAUGGGGUGCUUCUGCGAGCCCCCUGCAUCCAGACCAUGCGAUGCCAGCACCCAGGAGGGGUUGGCCCUGUAGAUGUGGGGGUUUGGGGGAGCACGGCGACCCCAAUGAUGCGAUGGGGAGGUCAGAAAAAUCUUCUGGUUCCCAUCUGGCUUGGAAGAGAUGUGGUUUCUCCCCAGGUUGGAGGUGGGGCAAAUGCCCACCAAACCUCUUUGGAGACCCCCAAGCCACCGGGACACAAAACCCAAACAUUUUGGCCACCCUUGGAGCCAACGAGGCCUCUUCCAGCUCAGCACCAACCAUAGGAAGGGGCCGGGAAGGACAGGGGCAGCCCCGAGGAGCACCUGGAGCAGGGAACCCCCGGCUCACAUGGCUGCUGGGGCACGGAGCUGCCAGUCCUGGCGUGCAGCACGGAUUGGGCCGUCCCCACUGCACCAAAGUCACUCUCAGGACCCAAAACACCAUUCUGGAGGCUCCCGGGGCCACCGAGGAGGUGUUGGUGAUGGCCCAGCACUGAACAUCUCAAUAGAUGGUUUGAAUCGACGUCUCCAAUCUGAGAAUUUGCAAACUGGGGCUUCUUUUUUUUUUUUUGUCACUUUUUU